rnacentral:lncRNA from 1 species
AUGGUGAGGUCUGAUACGUCUUUGCUGAGGGCAGUUAUUUGGACGGCGACGUCGCAAAGAUGGUGCGCGCAGUGUGUGGCAGUCUGCGGAAAGAAGGAAACCUCGCAGGGCUGCUUCUGCUCGCGCUCGCGGGGUUCGGGCUCUGGAUGCAUGAAGUCACGGCUCUGCCUGCCUGGAGAUUUGAGUUUUUGUCUUCUCCAGAUGUUCACUGAUGGACUGGAGUGCUGUGGAUUACUUGUGGAUUAUUGUGAUGUUUUUAUCAGUCUGACGGCACCCAUUCACUGCAGAGCAUCCAUGCAAUCCAGAUCCAAUCUGAUGAACUCAUCUACACACCCACAUCUCAACAUCCAAUCAACAUCUGAUGCAUAGAACCAAGUCACACUCAUUUUUCUUUUCCGAUAAUGACUCGAAUAUAAUGUCACAUUACAAAAUAAAAGAUCUGUUGCUACUUUUGUGCCAUUUUGUGUAUUUUUAGUGAUUUAUAUAUUGUUUGCAAGACAUAUUUAAUACACGUCUGUUUUUUAAUGGCAGCUGUAAACUAACCCUAAGAAACAUAAAACCAAAUCCUGACCUUUUGCCUGCCACAAACCAGAAAUACCAUGAGCCAGUCAUGCUUUACAGCUGUGACGUGGAGAAAGGUUACUGGCUGGUUACUAAUAAGGGAUAAUGAAGCCCUCUGCAUGUCCUGUCCCAACUUCCUGUUUAAUAGCAGUCAUGUCAACACAGGACAGCGCUCUUCAGCUGAUUUCAUUAAGUCUGCGUAACCCAGAUACAAUGAAAGGAAAAUCCCAGAUAGAUCCCACUGACCUUUAAGGAUGCAGUCCUGGCACGUCUUGAAAUUUUGUGAAAGAAGGUAUGCUAUACUAUGCUCCAUCUGUAGCAGUUAUAUAAUCAGUCUUUGGUCCAUCUUUGGGGACAAGGCUGGAAUAUUUGUAUUGGCAAAGACAGUAUGAAUUGACUUCUGUUAGGACAGUGUUACUGACCCCUCGACCCUUGACGUCCAAGGUUUUUCAGUCUGACUGGUUUAUGGAAGCUUUGACUGCUUUGGCUUAUGCUUUGGCAUAUUACUACACUGUCUCAUUAAAUCUACAAAUACAUCCAGUCCACAUCUCAGAUCUUUCUAUUUCACAGAAGAUAUUUCUGGAUCUAGCAGAGUUACAUAACUUACAGUCAGCAGCUCAUGACUUCGUGUUAAAUCUGCUCAUGACCCAACAGAUAAGAAAGCUGUGGAAGAAUAAAUAAGAGUAGCUGAAGCUCUUCUGAACAGUAUGACCAAUAUGAACCGCAGUGUUGGAAAGCGAUCAUUAGGUCACCACAAAGGUAGCUGGGAAGAUGCUAGUUUGUCUUUGUCGUGGAAGGAGCGUGACCACCGCUCAGGGUCUGAAUUAUGGCUUGGGCUUAGGGAAGAGGCUUUAAUAAGGCAGAACUAAUUACAGGAUUAAAUAAAGUUGAGCUUGCCUGCAUGCACGUCACUCUCUUGUGCAUGACGUUAUGUUUCUGUAAGAACAGAUCAGCUGAUUGUUUGUGCUGAGGUCAGCCAUUGACAGAUAUGGUUCUGUGUCCCGACUCCUUGAAGCGUGAUUCUUGUGAGCGGUUGAAUGCUGGAAGGAGCUGGAGAUUGAAUGUAGGUCACAGGGCCUUAUCAUGUCUUGCUGUGCAGUGUGGUAACACAAAGAACAGAGUUAUCCUUCUUCAAGAGUACCAAAAAUAUGAAGAGAACAGCAGCCAAACCCUAACUUCUGCCUACAGUCCAUUCCUUCCAGAAGAGAGAUUUAUCCUUUUUCUGUUCCUGAAUCUAACAGCAUGGCAUGCAUAUGAUUAACAGUAUUGCGCUUGUAUAUGUCCUGAUAUCCUGAAUGUGGAGAAAAUGACCAGGCAUUCUAAGAAAAUACAGUGAUCAGAGACUCUUUCCAGGUCAUUAUCCUUAUAUUUAGUGUACGGGAAAUUACCUUUAAAGGUAAAGUUCUCAUGUUAAUCUCGAGUAGCUACAGAGCAGUACUGCAUCCUUCAUAUCUCUGAAGAGUCUUAGUUUGAUCAGAUUUAUAAAAGACAGAAACAGUCGUGCUCCUGGAGGCGUGUCGUGGGCGGAGCUAAAGCUUUGUCUGCAAGCGGUGACAUCAACAUCAAUAAAACCGGAACACAAUCUUUAUUGACUUUAAUGAUUUUUUUGUUUAUAAAACAUUCGUCACUGAAAUGCUGGGAACAAACAAACACACACUCGGAGAAACAAACUGCAUCCACUGUUCGCUAACGCUGGGCUCUUUGGGAAGCUGAACAAGGUUCUCUCACAACCAAAAACACUCUUCUUCAGAGACAUUAUUGAUUUCGUGGUCUAAAAACAAAAUUAUCAAUUGUUCUCGAGCAAGUCCUGUGCAGCGCUGCAGAUGAGCUGAAGUGCCCAUACAAGGAAUUCAGUAAAAGUAAAGCAUUACUUUACUAGUUACUUGAAAAAGUAAUCUGAUUAUGUAACUCAACACUGAUCAUUAGACACUAUUUAUAUGAAAAAUGUUGGUCAGUAGUAAAACAUUUCUGUGGAUUUCAUCGCAGACCGAAACAACAAGGCUCUCUUUGCCACCACAGACCUCACCAUUAUUCUCCACAAACUAUUAGGUUUCUAUCCCAAGUGUGGUAGACUUUUUCUAAGAUGAUAAAUGAAAAUCUUUGCCUUACUUCAAGGUGUUAUCGUCAGUCAAACAGCUUAAGCAGUGGGUUCCAGUGGGCCUCCAUGCUCUUUAUUCUCUGAAAACCAUUGAAGUACCAACUGCGAGUGACUGGAAUGGAUGUGGGGAGGCUCCAUGUGCCAGUUGCAGAAAGCUGCAUGAAAUUCCCAUUGACACUGGCAUUAAAACACCAAACCUCAGACUUGGUCCAAAUCAUGUCCCGCUAAAAAGCGUAUUUUAUUUAGUGAUGCCUUUAAAAUGGCAUUGAUAACAUUACUCUUACUCCGUUCAUCAUCUGCUCUCUAAGAGGAGGACGUACAGUCUAUGAAGGCUCAUAUGUAUUAUCACAGUAGUACCUAGCAGUAAAGCCCAUUUAUUCUUGAUAACUCAUCCAUGUAUUAGCUUCACAGGUUUCUUGAAUUGCACUCAUGUCCUGUUACGUCCAACCCUUUGUGUUUCUGCUUGGUUCAUAGGGAUCUGAGGAUCUCUGAAUAAAUCUUUAGAUAAUCCUGUGACCAUCUGCUUUGGCAUAUAGUUGCAAAGAGACCCUACUCAAGUCUCAAAACUCCUUUACAUCAUGAGUUUGAGGGUAGCUGAACACAUAUUGUUUGAUUAAACCAGGCUCCGAGCUGAUCGGCCCGAAACAUCGUCCUUUAGGAGUUCCACUCCGUCAACGUAUCUUGGACCUGAAAUACAUUUCAUUUAUUUUCCAUUCAAAAAGAAUGGAAGUCCUGCUUGCCAAGAGUGUCUGCCUGUAAAUGCAUGCGAUAUAAAGACAGGCUACAGAGUCUGGUCUAAGAGCGAAUCAGUUCAGGAAUGUCCCAUCCGACUAAAAUAGUCUCCAUCUCCUCUAGUUAUAACUAUUUUUGACUUUACCGCUCCCAUCAGCGUUUGCAAGUGGAGUCUGCUCAUAUUUUACCUUUUGAAACACUCAAUCAACACAUGACUCUUUCCAGAAGACUGAGAUAAAAUUCAGCAAAGGACAUAACAGUCUGUAUAGAAAAUCCUCUGUGUUAUUAAUGCAUGCAGUCAUCCAGUUUGAAGACUGUAGGCUCUGUGUGAAGAGAAAAGGAGCCAAGCUUUAUGCAAACACUGUAGACUUGGCUCUCUGCUGUGUUUGUGUAUGUGUCUGUGAAUGUCUGCUUAAUAUGUCUGUUUCAGACACUAGUUUAAGGUCAGUUUACCAGUGAAGUGAAAAAAUUUGGACAGCUUUAUGAAACCUGGAGAGCGCUCUCAACAUCAACUUCUGAGUUCAAAUCCAGGCCAAAUACCUUCUGGAAUUACAAACAUUUAAUUUUUUCUUUCUCUUUUUUCCAUAGACUUGCAUCUUCCUGCCAAUUCAUUACAGGGCACAUUCUUAUGAAAUCAAAACUGGAUUUCUGUGGCUAUUAGCUUUGAGAUCUUCAGUAUAGAUGACUGCCUUUUAGUGCACAAAAAAGUCUCACUUUCUGCUAAACGGACCAAAAAUCUCGAUCUUGCAUGCAGAUGAAUUACAUCAAGAGAGGAAACAAUGUCACAGGGUCUAUAAAGUUAAUAUUACUGUCGUUGUUGGUUUUCUAGGAUGAUCACUCACACAGUUGAGUACAUCAGAAAGUUGAUAGCAUCCGUGUUUGCCGUGUGAAUGUGUGGGAUGUGGUUGCACACUCUGACCAAAAAUGUAGUUCUUCUACUCAGUAAUACAGCAGAGGUCAAAUUCUUUCACAAGAAAAAUCACACAGAUAAUAGACUUCCAGAAUAAAUAGUUAGCUGCCACUGUAGAGCAAAAUCAGAAUCCGUCUUUUUUUGUUGUAUUAUAAGGCGUUUCAAUAUAUUGCAUCGUUAUGCAUGCACUGUUCUGUAAAGAGCAUAACAUAACAGU